rnacentral:rRNA from 1 species
CAAUAGCGUAUAUUUAAGUUGCUGCAGUUAAAAAGCUCGUAGUUGGAUUUCGGGUGGGAAUGGCCGGUCCGCCGUUUCGGUGUGCACUUGCUACGCCCAACUUGCUGCCGGGGACGUGCUCUUGAGUUCACGCUCGGGACACGGAGUCGGCGAGGUUACUUUGAGUAAAUUAGAGUGUUCAAAGCAGGCCUACGCUCUGAAUACAUUAGCAUGGAAUAACACGAUAGGACUCUGGCCUAUCUUGUUGGUCUGUAGGACCGGAGUAAUGAUUAAGAGGGACAGUCGGGGGCAUUCGUAUUUCAUUGUCAGAGGUGAAAUUCUUGGAUUUAUGAAAGACGAACUACUGCGAAAGCAUUUGCCAAGGAUGUUUUCAUUAA